rnacentral:rRNA from 1 species
UAGGGGGUACUGCCUGCCCAGUGAAUUUUCAACGGCCGCGGUAUCCUAACCGUGCAAAGGUAGCGCAAUCACUAGUUCUCUAAAUAAGGACCUGUAUGAAUGGCAACACGAGGAUUUAACUGUCUCCUCCCUAACAAAAUUAAACUUCUCUGGUGGUGCAAAAGCCACCAUACCAGCGCUAGACGAGAAGACCCUGUCGAGCUUAAAAGCUUAAAUUCUGAGGACAACAAAAGGGUCCACCCUUUCCCCCUCUUUUUCCCCCGCUUUUUGGUUGGGGCAACCGCGGAGGACAAACAUCCCCCGCUCUCACUUUAAUAGACAUCACGUCAUAAGCGGAAAAGCGAUCCGGCACCCCCGAGCAACGAACAAAGUUACCGCAGGGAUAACAGCGUAAUUCCCCCUGAGAGCCCACAUUGACGGGGGAGAUUGCGACCUCGAUGUUGGAUUGGGGAACCCUGAGGGUGCAGCCACUUUCAAAGGUUGGUCUGUUCGACCAUU